GGAAAGAGAGCUGCGGGUGAGUGAAAGUGCAUUGAAGUCUUUUCCAACCAAGAGAAAAUUUUGAAAUAUUGGAGCGAGAGAUUAGUGUCCAAAUUUUAAUUAAGAAUUAAUUAGUAAAAUUAUUUUCUUUGAUGUUUAAACUCAACAAACUGGUACAUUUUUGUCUCGAUCUAAGCUCAGACCAGUUUAUGAUGGAAUAUGUUGUUGGACGAACAACAUAAAGGUAUAAAUAUUGAGUUUGGGUGUCCAGGUAAGUCGAUACAAUUGUGUUAUGUGUACAAUCGGAGUUGACAAUCCUGAUUGACAAUUAAAUACAUGGGAAAGGGGUCCACGUUGGAUAAAAAAGUCAUGAGUCUCCUCUUCUGUGAGUACAUUAUCAAUCGGAAUUGUCAACCCCAGUUGUACAAGAAGAAUAAUUCAAGUCGAUAAGCAUUUGUAUAUUAAUUUGCAUUCCAUAAGAACCCACGUCUUCUUUAUGGC
rnacentral:lncRNA from 1 species